GACGAACGCUGGCGGCGUGCUUAACACAUGCAAGUCGAACGGAAAGGCCUGCUUUCCCUUGUGGAUUGCGGGUACUCGAGUGGCGAACGGGUGGGUAACACGUGAGUGAUCUGCCCCCAACUUGGGUAUAAGCCUGGGAAACUGGGUCUAAUUCCCGAUAGGACUGCAGGGUGGUGCCUGUGGUGGAAAACGAUUUUCUAGUGGUUGGGGAUGGGCUCGCGGCCUAUCAGCUUGUUGGUGGGGUAAUGGCCUACCAAGGCGGCGACGGGUAGCCGGCCUGAGAGGGUGGACGGCCACAUUGGGACUGAGAUACGGCCCAGACUCCUACGGGAGGCAGCAGUGGGGAAUAUUGCACAAUGGGCGGAAGCCUGAUGCAGCGACGCCGCGUGGGGGAUGACGGCCUUCGGGUUGUAAACUCCUUUCGACCGCGAGGAAGCCACCUGGUUGGAAGGGUGGUGACGGUAGUGGUAGAAGAAGCACCGGCUAACUACGUG
rnacentral:rRNA from 1 species